GUCUAUAUGAUGGUUUAUAAAGUCUAACCUGCCCACUGGGAUCAAACUAAAGGGCCGCGGUAUUUUAACCGUGCGAAGGUAGCAUAGUCAUUAGUCUCUUAAUUGGAGGCUUGUAUGAAUGGUUGGACAAGAAGCAAACUGUCUCAAAUACAAUAAUUGAAUUUGACUUUUAAGUGAAAAGGCUUAAAUAUUUUAAAGGGACGAUAAGACCCUAUAAAGCUUAAUAAUUUAGUAUAUAAUUAGAUGAGUUAAAAGUUUAAUAUUAUUUAUAUACUGAAUUAUUUCGUUGGGGCGACGAUGAUAUAAUUUGUAACUGUUUAAAUCUAAAAUACAGAGAUAUUUGUGUGUAAUGAUCCUUGUUGUUGAUUAAAAAUUUAAGUUACUUUAGGGAUAACAGCGUUAUUUAUUUUGAGAGUUCAUAUCGACAAAAAAGUUUGCGACCUCGAUGUUGAAUUAAAAAUUCGCCAUGGCGUAGGAGUUGUGGAGG
rnacentral:rRNA from 1 species